UAGCAAUGGACAGUCGGUAUAUUCACAUCAACCAGACAAAGCUGCACUGGUGAAGCUCAACCUCAGUUUCCCUCUCUUGAAGGGUCUAGUGCCAGUUGGGAAGUUCUUUUCAAAAGGCUUUACAAACUCAUUCAGUUGACAGAACAAUCCUCAGAGUUGGAUGAGCAUGUGGAUUCUCUGCUGCAGUUCCUUCGAUCUGUUCCUGGUCUGAAGGAAGUAAAAGUUUGGCUAAACAACCUGAUUGAGAGCUGGGCAGCUGGUCUGUUCACCCUCUUCCUGUCUUGUUCCAACUUACUUCAUUUGCAACUGAAAACAGAUAUGUCUGGUAUUAAUGAUGUGGAGAGUCUGGGUAUAUUGAGAGAUGAGAGAGUGAGACUCUCUGUCGGCUGUAAUCAUCUGAAUUAUAUAGAUGAGUGUUGUGAUAUAAACCUCUUUGAACCUCCAGUGCACAAAGUGCUUCCUUGUGUCACCAUCACAUUGACAGAUGACUCUGAGAAUGCAAAUGCUGACUGGAAGAAAUUCUUUCAUGCCUACAACCAGCUGAAAGACUUGACU